rnacentral:rRNA from 1 species
UGAGUAACCUGCCCUUAACUCUGGGAUAAGCCUGGGAAACUGGGUCUAAUACCGGAUAUGACUCCUCAUCGCAUGGUGGGGGGUGGAAAGCUUUAUUGCGGUUUUGGAUGGACUCGCGGCCUAUCAGCUUGUUGGUGAGGUAAUGGCUCACCAAGGCGACGACGGGUAGCCGGCUGAGGAGGGUGACCGGCCACACGUGGGGACUGACGACACCGGCCCAGCUCCG